rnacentral:rRNA from 1 species
AACGAACGCUGGCGGCAGGCCUAACACAUGCAAGUCGAGCGAACCCUUCGGGGUUAGCGGCGGACGGGUUAGUAACGCGUGGGAAUAUACCCUUUGGUACGGAAUAGCCUCGGGAAACUGAGAGUAAUACCGUAUGUGCCCUUCGGGGAAGAUUAUCGCCAAAGGAUUAGCCCGCGUUGGAUUAGAUAGUUGGUGGGGUAAUGGCCUACCAAGUCUACGAUCCAUAGCUGGUUUGAGAGGAUGAUCAGCAACACUGGGACUGAGACACGGCCCAGACUCCUACGGGAGGCAGCAGUGGGGAAUCUUAGACAAUGGGCGCAAGCCUGAUCUAGCCAUGCCGCGUGGACGAUGAAGGCCUUAGGGUUGUAAAGUCCUUUCAGAUGGGAAGAUAAUGACGGUACCAUCAGAAGAAGCCCCGGCUAAACUCCGUGCCAGCAGCCGCGGU